GUUCUGCUACGGCGUUGGUGACUGCCAACAAUGUUUUCUGAUCUAUGUUUUUCAUUUCGCGGGUAUCAAGAUGCUGAAGCAGCAGUAAACCAGGCUUGUCCUAAUCAUGGAUUUGUACCUGGAAACUAUAAGCUCCGGCCGCGAUUCCCACCUGGUAACCCCAGGUCAAAAACUGAGGUAAGACGGCGCUGCGGUUGAACU
rnacentral:other from 1 species